GAAACUUAGUUUAAUAAAACUAAAUUAAAUUAUAAAGUAUCAACUGUGUCAAACUCAAAUUUAAUUUCUUUCCAAACUUCACAAGCAGCAGCUAAUUCAGGACUCCAUUUAGCAGCUUCACGAAUAAUCUCAUUUCCUUCGCGAGCAAGGUCACGUCCUUCAUUACGAGCUUGUACACAAGCUUCUAAAGCAACCCUGUUAGCAACUGCACCAGGUGCGUUACCCCAAGGGUGACCUAAAGUUCCACCACCAAAUUGUAAUACAGAGUCAUCUCCGAAGAUUUCAGUUAACGCUGGCAUGUGCCAAACGUGAAUACCACCGGAAGCUACUGGUAAAACACCUGGCAGAGAAACCCAAUCUUGAGUAAAGUAAAUACCACGACUUCUAUCUUUUUCAAUAUAGUCAUCACGAAGUAAGUCAACAAACCCUAGAGUUACUUGACGUUCCCCUUCAAGUUUACCUACUACAGUACCGGAGUGAAUGUGGUCACCACCAGAUAAACGUAAUGCUUUAGCUAAUACACGGAAGUGCAUACCGUGAUUUUUUUGACGGUCAAGAACUGCGUGCAUUGCACGGUGAAUGUGAAGAAGUAAACCAUUGUCACGACAAUAGUGAGCUAAACUAGUAUUUGCAGUAAAACCACCAGUUAAGUAGUCAUGCAUAACAAUAGGCAUACCUAAUUCUCUAGCAAAUUGAGCUCUUUUGAUCAUUUCUUCACAAGUACCUGCAGUAGCAUUUAGAUAAUGCCCUUUAAUUUCACCUGUUUCACCUUGAGAUUUGUAAAUAGCUUCUGCACAGAAUAAGAAACGGUCUCUCCAACGCAUGAAAGGUUGAGAGUUUACGUUUUCAUCAUCUUUAGUGAAAUCAAGUCCACCACGAAGACAUUCGUAUACAGCUCUACCAUAGUUUUUAGCAGAUAAACCUAAUUUUGGUUUAAUAGUACAUCCUAAUAAUGGACGACCAUAUUUGUUUAAUUUAUCUCUUUCAACUUGAAUACCGUGAGGUGGGCCUUGGAAAGUUUUAGAAUAAGCUGGAGGAAUACGUAAAUCUUCUAGACGUAAAGCUCUUAAAGCUUUAAAUCCAAAAACGUUACCAACAAUAGAAGUAAAUAAGUUAGUAACAGAACCUUCUUCAAAUAAAUCUAAUGGGUAAGCAACAUAAGCAAUAUAUUGAUUUUCUUCUCCAGCAACUGGUUCAAUUGCAUAGCAUCUACCUUUGUAACGAUCAAGACUAGUAAGUCCAUCAGUCCAAACAGUAGUCCAUGUACCAGUAGAAGAUUCCGCAGCUACAGCAGCUCCACAUUCUUCAGCUGGUACUCCUGGUUGAGGAGUCAUACGAAAUGCUGCUAAAAUAUCAGUAUCUUUAGUUUGAUAAUCUGGAGUGUAAUAAGUUAAUCGGUAAUCUUUAACACCAGCUUUAAAUCCAACACCUGCUUUAAUCUCCGGGCGUGGUGACAUAAAUCCCUCCCUAAAACUCAAUUAAUAACUCUUGAAAAGAUGAGGUCUGCUCGACAAAUAAGAUUUUUUUAUAAAACUAAAAAAACUUAAUUGGUAUUUAAUUUUGUCUAGUUUUAGACAAAGUAAUUUUUUUAUAACAAAACAGUAUUAUUGUAUAUUAUUUUCUACAUUUGAUGCAACUCAGAUUAUUUUUUAAUAAUUUUUUUGUUUUUUUAAGCAUUGUUUUAAAAAUGUUUUGAAUGUUAAACUAAUUAAUAAAAAGAAAACUAAUAUAAAAGGUUACCAAAUAAUAAAAAAAAAGUAUAAUAAACCUAGUUUAUAAUUAAUUUAACAACUAGAAUUUUUUGUUAUUUUAUUUAUAAACAUAUUUAUAUAAUAUAUCAAUAUAAUAAUAAGUUUAAAAUAACCAAAUACUUUUAUUUUCUCAUUAACUAAAAAUUAUUAAUUGAUCGAAAUGAGUCUAACUAACAUUAAACUUUUUUCAAUUUCGAUUUAAUUACAAUUCAAAUCUAUAUUCAAAUUAUUUAUGAAAAAUGAUUCCCGUACUUUUGGAGCUUCAACAGUUCUAACUAAAACUCAAAAUAUAGGACGUAUUAGUCAAAUUAUUGGUCCUGUAUUAGACGUUACUUUUCCUCCUGGUAAAAUGCCUAAUAUCUAUAAUUCUUUAAUAGUUAAAGGUCAAAAUACAGCAGGUCAAGAAAUUAACGUUACGUGUGAAGUACAACAAUUAUUAGGAAAUAAUAAAGUUCGAGCUGUAGCAAUGAGUGCGACAGAUGGCUUGAUGAGAGGAAUGGAUGUUGUUGAUACAGGAGCUGCUUUAAGUGUUCCAGUUGGUGAAGCUACUCUUGGACGUAUUUUUAAUGUUUUAGGAGAACCUGUUGAUAACCUGGGUCCUGUAGAUGCUAGUACAACUUUUCCUAUUCAUAGAUCUGCUCCUGCUUUUACACAAUUAGAUACUAAAUUAUCCAUUUUUGAAACAGGAAUUAAAGUGGUAGAUCUUUUAGCUCCAUAUCGACGUGGUGGAAAAAUUGGAUUAUUUGGAGGAGCUGGAGUAGGGAAAACCGUACUUAUCAUGGAAUUAAUUAAUAACAUUGCUAAAGCGCACGGUGGUGUAUCUGUAUUUGGUGGAGUAGGAGAACGUACUCGUGAAGGGAAUGACCUUUACAUGGAAAUGAAAGAAUCCAAAGUUAUUAAUGAAGAAAAUAUUUCAGAAUCAAAAGUAGCACUAGUUUAUGGUCAAAUGAAUGAGCCGCCUGGAGCUCGUAUGAGAGUAGGGUUAACUGCUUUAACAAUGGCUGAAUAUUUUAGAGAUGUUAAUAAACAAGAUGUACUUUUAUUUAUUGAUAAUAUUUUCCGUUUUGUUCAAGCCGGUUCAGAAGUUUCUGCUUUAUUAGGUAGAAUGCCAUCUGCUGUAGGUUAUCAGCCAACGUUAAGUACAGAAAUGGGUACUUUACAAGAAAGAAUUACUUCAACAAAAGAAGGAUCUAUUACGUCAAUUCAAGCUGUUUAUGUACCUGCAGAUGACUUAACUGACCCAGCUCCUGCUACAACCUUUGCACAUUUAGAUGCAACUACCGUAUUAUCCAGAGGGCUAGCAGCGAAAGGUAUCUAUCCAGCAGUAGAUCCUUUAGAUUCAACUUCUACUAUGCUUCAACCUUGGAUUGUAGGUGAAGAGCAUUAUGAAACAGCUCAAGGAGUAAAAGAAACAUUACAACGCUAUAAAGAAUUACAAGAUAUUAUUGCUAUUCUUGGCCUUGAUGAAUUGUCAGAAGAAGAUAGAUUGGUUGUAGCAAGAGCAAGAAAAAUCGAACGUUUCUUAUCUCAACCAUUUUUUGUAGCAGAAGUAUCUACAGGUUCUCCAGGAAAAUAUGUUAGUCUAGCUGAAACCAUCAAAGGUUUUCAAAUGAUUCUUUCUGGAGAAUUAGACUCUUUCCCUGAGCAAGCUUUUUAUUUAGUUGGUAAUAUUGACGAGGCUACAGCCAAAGCAGCAAAUCUACAAAUGGAGAAUUAAUAUGGAUACUUUUCGAUUACGAGUUAUCGCACCCGAUCGCAUUAUUUUUGAUAGUAGAGCUGCAGAAGUUAUUUUAGCUACAAAUACUGGUCUAGUUGGGAUAUUACCUAAUCACGCGCCACUUUUAACAGGUUUAGAUAUAGGUAUUCUGAAAAUAAGAACUAAUGAAUUAUGGUCUGUUGUAGCAGUAAUGGGUGGUUUUGCUAUGGUACAUGAUAAUGACAUAACAAUCUUAGUAAAUGAAGCCGAAAAUGCAAAAGAAAUAAAUUUGCAAGAAGCUCAAGAAAUUUUUCAAUUGACUCAAACUAAAGUAUCGCAAGCGGACGGUCGAAAAGAAAAUAUUGAAGCUAAUUUAAAUUUAAAAAGAGCAAAAGCUCGUUUGGACGCUAUUCAAGAAGGUAUUAAAGAAGGUACUGCAAGUUAAAUAAAAUACCUUUAUAAAAGUAAAAAGUAAUUAAUAAAUAAUAAAUGAACCUAAUAACAUAUUAUUUAUAUGUUAUUAGGUUCAUUUAUUAUUUAUUAAUUACCUACUAUUGGAUUUGAACCAAUGACUCUCGCCGUAUGAAAGCGAUACUCUAAACCACUGAGUUAAGUAGGCUAACAAUAUUUUAGCCAUUCUUUAGCAUAUAAGCAAUAUUUUUAAUAAUAAAAAAAGAAAAAUAAAAAAAAAAAUAAUUUUUUUUUUAUUUAAAAAAAGAAUCUUGACAAAAAAAAAGAAAUGAUGUUAAUAUCGUAUUAAUUAAAAAUAAUAACAAGGACUAUAGCUCAGCGGUAGAGCACCUCGUUUACACGUGCGCCAAUGCUUUUAAAAAAUUUAUUGGAGUUUCCAAUUCACAAUAAAUAAAUUAUGUGAAAUAAUUUUGUCUUACUUUUCUAUUUAUAAUAAAUAAAAAGAACAAUAGCAUGACAAAAAACUAAAUUUAGAUUUAUUAUAAUAAUUUAAAUUAUAUUUUAAUUGAUUGAUAUGGUAAAAUUUGAACUUAUUCAAUGCUAAGCAUUAUGAGGAUGAUACGAGGACCUCGAGAUAUUCUAUUUUUUACUUUAAGAGCUUUAGGGUGUAUAAAGUUUUAAAAAUUAAAAAGUAAUAGAAAUUCAUUUUGAGUAAAUCUAUGCUAAAUUAAGCAAACCUACGUCAACAUUAAAUUUUUUAAAAAACUUUGGGAUUGCUUUAAUAUUUAAGCACACGGAGCUAUUUUAAUAUUUUAAUAAAAAAAGAAUAGCAAACUAACUAAAUUAUUUAUUAGUUAAUGAAAGAGCCCAAUGCAAAAAAAAAAUGCAUGUUGGGUUCAUAAAAAUAGUUACAACUAAAUUAAAAAAAGAAAUCUAACUAUUUUACCGAGAAUGUCUACGGUUCGAUCCCGUAUAGUCCUAAUUUAUUAAAAAAACAUUUAAUAUUCAAAUGUUUUUUUAUUUUCAUUAUUAUUAUUUUUGUAUUAAGUUAUCUUUAAAUUUACAGUUUUUUUAUAUAUAGAUAUAAAUAAAUAAAAUAUUCAAUUAAUUAAUUUUUCGUCUAUUAAAAAAAACUUGUUGUUUUCUGAUUUUAUAGGAGUAUAUUAAUGUUUUUAUUACCAAAAUACAAUUCUUUUUUUAUUUUUUUAUUAUUAGCUAGUGUUAUUCCUAUAUUAGCUUUUUCUAUUUCUAAGUUUUUAGCACCUAAUAAUACUCAAGGACCAGAAAAACUAACUAGUUAUGAAUCAGGAAUAGAACCAAUGGGUGAUGCUUGGAUUCAAUUCCAAAUUCGCUAUUAUAUGUUCGCGUUAGUUUUUGUUAUUUUUGAUGUAGAAACAGUUUUUUUAUAUCCAUGGGCCAUGAGUUUUAAUGAUUUAGGCUUAUCUGCAUUUAUUGAAGCUUUAGUUUUUGUAUUUAUUCUAAUUAUUGGUUUAGUUUAUGCAUGGCGAAAAGGAGCACUAGAAUGGUCUUAAAUUCUAAUUAUGACAAUUAUAAAAAUAAAAUUACUAAUUCCAUGAAGCCACUUAUAAAUUCAGUAAAUCCGGCCUUUUCUAAUCAAGAAAAUCCAAAUUCAGUAAUUUUAACUACGUUUAAUGAUUUUACAAAUUGGGCUAGACUUUCUAGUUUAUGGCCACUUCUUUAUGGUACCAGUUGUUGCUUUAUUGAAUUUGCUUCAUUAAUUGGUUCCCGAUUUGAUUUUGAUCGUUACGGUUUAGUUCCAAGAUCUAGCCCAAGACAAGCAGACCUUAUAAUAACAGCUGGUACUGUAACAAUGAAAAUGGCACCUUCUUUAGUAAGACUAUAUGAACAAAUGCCUGAACCUAAAUAUGUAAUUGCUAUGGGUGCCUGUACUAUUACAGGAGGUAUGUUUAGUACCGAUUCUUAUAGUACAGUUCGUGGAGUAGAUAAAUUAAUUCCUGUAGAUAUUUAUUUACCGGGUUGUCCGCCGAAACCAGAAGCUAUUAUAGACGCUAUAAUAAAACUUCGUAAAAAAAUAGCUCAAGAAACUUAUAAAGAUAAAUCAAAAUUUCAGCAAGGAAAUAGAUAUUUAACAUUAAAUCAUAAAUUUCAUUUUGUAUCUAACAUUAAUACUGGCCAAUAUAAUAAACAAUUAGAUACUAAAAUUUCUAAUUCUCAGUUUAAUUCAACUUUAGAUACUUUUAUUCCUAUUAAAAAAAAUGAAAAUUUAACUUUUUUAUUAAAAAAUGAGGAUAAUAAAGAAAAUAUUGAAAAUAAAUCAAAAGAUUGAAAAAAAAAGCACUUAAAUAUGUUAAAUACUUAUACAAACAGUAGUACUAAAAUACAAGGGCGCUUAUCCGUUUGGUUAGCAAACCAUAAGCUGCCUCAUAGACCGUUAGGUUUUGAUUAUCAAGGUGUAGAAAUUUUACAAAUUAGAUCAGAAGAUUGGCUUUCUAUAGCGGUUGCUUUAUAUGUUUAUGGUUUUAAUUAUCUUCGUUCUCAAUGUGCAUAUGAUGUAGCACCUGGAGGACUUUUAGCUAGUGUAUAUCAUUUUACAAAAAUAGAAGAUAAUGUAGAUCAACCUGAAGAAAUAUGUAUAAAAAUUUUUGUAUCAAGACAAAAACCUAAAAUACCAUCUGUUUUUUGGAUUUGGAAAAGCGCUGAUUUUCAAGAACGGGAAUCUUAUGAUAUGUUAGGGAUUUCUUAUGAAAAUCAUCCACGUCUUAAACGUAUUUUAAUGCCUGAUACUUGGAUUGGUUGGCCUUUACGUAAAGACUAUAUUGUACCUGAUUUUUACGAGUUACAAGAUGCUUACUAACACAAAAAUAAAAGCUAAAAAAAAACAAGAAAUUUAAUUAUUUUAUUAAAAAAAAAAACAGAAAAUAAUUAAAUUUCGUAAAAACCUAAUUCAUUUAUUAAAAACUUUUUUCAUUUCAAAUUGAUAAGAAAAUUAUUAUAAUAACAUUUAAGACACAAUUCUUUUUUUAGUUACGUGUCUUAAAUGUUAUAAAUAAAAUAAAAAUAUUUAUACAAAUAAAAAUAAAUAUUAAAUGAAUCUAGAUAUAAAAUAAGAAAAAAUGCCAAGAACCAGAUUUGAACUGGUGACACAAGGAUUUUCAGUCCUCUGCUCUACCAACUGAGCUAUCCCGGCUUGUUUUACGUUGAGAUUUUAACAUAAAUUAAAAGUUUGUGUCAAUAAAAAAAGAUUUUUUUAGAAAUAUACGAAAAUUUUAUUAUUUAUUAAAUUUGGGGGAAGAGGGACUUGAACCCUCACGGUCACUUAAGCCAACGGAUUUUCUUUUUACUACAAUUUAAAUUGUUGCUAAAACUAACAUGUAAAAUUGGACUCUAUCUUUAUCCUCACUUUUUAAUUUAAUUAAAAACUAACAAUUUAGUUUAAAUUAAUUUUUAUUAAUGGAUAAAAAAUUAAAAUUAAUUAUAUAAUUUUUAAAAAAUUAUGCGUUAGGAUAGCUUCCAUUGAGUCUCUGCACCUAUCUUAUUUAAGAUAAAAAAAGAUUUGGCUCAGGAUUGCUUAUAUUUUUUUUCAACCUAAGUUUCCCUGAAUCUGAAAGCUAGCAUUUAAUAAAUUUUUUUACUAAAGCUCAAAUUAUUUUUUAAGUCCGUAGCGUCUACCAAUUCCGCCAUACCCCCCUUUUUUUGUUUUUUUUAAAUAAAAAAUUUGUUUUUUAUCAAAGUUUUUUAGAUUAAUAAUAAAAUUUUGCUAAGAUAGUUUAUUAUAGCUUUUUUUAAGUUUUAAGGCAAUACUCUAUAAUAUAUAUGUAAUAUCUUUUUUUUUUCGUUAAAAAUUUGAAUAUUUUUUAUCAUUUUUAAUUAUUGCAUUAUCAAAAAUUUAUUGAUAUAAUAAUAUAGUUAUAAAAAAUUAGUUAUAAAAAAUAAAUAAAAUUAUUUAAUAAUUUUUUUUUCUUUAAAAGUAAUUAGUUGUUGAUAAUAUAUUAUUAAUAAAGCCUGCUUAGCUCAGAGGUCAGAGCACCGCACUUGUAAUGCGAUGGUCAUCGGUUCGACUCCGAUAGCGGGCUUUUUUGUUUUUUAAUCUUAAACCUUAUAAUAAAAUAAAAUCUUAAAAAAACAAUGAAAAUUUAAAAAGUUUACAAGUUUUUUUAUAAAAAAAAAAAAUACUAUUUUUUUUUGUUGUAUUUCUUAUGUUAUGAUGUUUUUGACUAAAUAAAAAUAUAUAUAACUUUUUUUUUUACCACAAAAAAUUAAAGAAAAUUUAAGUAAAAAAACUUUAUAAAUGGAAAAAUAAGUUAGUUGAAUAUCUUUUACUUUUAUUAUUAAUAUUAUUAUUAUUUAUUUUUUUAUUUGUAAAAAUAAGGAGUUUUUAUGUCCCGUUAUCGAGGACCUCGUGUAAGAAUAAUACGUCGUUUAGGAGUUUUACCAGGACUAACUAAUAAAACACCACAGUUAAAAUCUAGUUCUGCUAAUCAAUCGACAGCUAAAAAAAUUUCUCAGUAUCGCAUUCGUUUAGAAGAAAAACAAAAAUUACGUUUUCAUUAUGGAAUAACAGAACGACAAUUACUUAACUAUGUACGUAUUGCUAGAAAAGCAAAAGGGUCAACAGGUCAAAUUUUAUUACAAUUACUGGAAAUGCGUUUAGAUAAUAUUGUUUUUCGAUUAGGUAUGGCCCCUACAAUUCCUGGAGCAAGACAAUUAGUAAAUCAUAGACAUGUUUUAGUCAAUGAUUGCAUAGUAGAUAUACCAAGUUAUCGCUGUAAACCUGAGGAUUCUAUUACUGUAAAAAACCGACAAAAAUCUCAAGCUAUAAUUACUAAAAAUAUAGAUUUUUCUCAAAAAUCCAAAGUACCAAAUCAUUUAACUUUUGAUUCUACACAAAAAAAAGGAUUAGUUAAUCAAAUACUAGAUCGUGAAUCAAUUGGUUUAAAAAUAAAUGAAUUAUUAGUUGUAGAAUAUUAUUCUCGUCAGGCUUAAUUAAAAAACAAGACUAAUAUUAUUUUAUUUUUAAUUAGAUAUACUUAUUUAUAAUAAAUUUUUGUUUUUUUGUUAAAAAAGGAAAGAGAGGGAUUCGAACCCUCGGUAAACGUAAGUCUACAUAGCAUUUCCAAUGCUACGCCUUCGACCACUCGGCCAUCUUUCCUAGAGUAUCAUCUCGUAAUUUUAAGUCAUAAGUUUGUAGAAUAGCAAGUUUUUUUAGUUAUUUUUAAUUAAUAAAUUAAAAAUCUUUAAAAUAUUAAGUAGAUGUAUAUAAAUUUUCAUUUAACUAAAUUAAAUUUAUUUAUUUAUAAAUAGCUAUUUAUAAAUAAAAUAGUAAGUAAAAAAAUUUAAUGGAUUUAUUCUCAAACAAAGGGAAUAGUAAAAAUAUUUCAAGUUAUAUUUAAAUUAUGCCUCGCUCUCAAAAAAAUGAUAAUUUUAUUGAUAAAACUUUUACAAUUGUUGCAGACAUUUUACUCCGAAUAAUUCCAACUACACAAAGGGAAAAAGAAGCUUUUACUUAUUAUAGAGAUGGUGCGAUUUGAUUUUUAAAACCUAAAAAAACUUAAUAGGAAUUAAAACAUAAUAAGAUUUAAUUAUAUGAAACUUACACUUAGUGAAGGUCCAUUUAUAAAAAAUAAUUCCUUCUGUCGUGUACUCUCGAUUGAUGUAGCCUUAAAUGCUUUAAUUUUUUAAAAAGUAAGGUAUUAAGCAAAAGGUUAAAGCUAUAAUUUUUUUUUAUUUAUAAGCAUACAUAUUUGGAAAAGCAUUACGUGUAGAAAUCGACAACACAAAAACUUCGUAAAAUUUUGAAGAAAACUUAUUUUUUAAUUACUAGUAAAAAAUAAUUAGUAAUAAAUUUAUGGUUAGAAAAACAAAAAUCCAUCUCAUUUGUAAAUUGGGUACUCAUAAAACCAUCGGAGAUUGUCGAAAAAGCUAAUCCACAAAAAACAAGGUGUUAAGAACAAAAAAAUUUGAAAAAUUUUAAUUUUAUCAAUUAAUUAAAAUGAAAAAAAAAAAUUCUAAGAAGGAUGGCUAGCUAUUUUUUUAAAGAAAACUAGCCCUUGAUAACUUAUUAUUUAUUAUAUUAGGUAAGACGUUUUUUUAACUUUUUUUAAAACUCUAUAGAAAAAUCCCUUUUUAUAAAUUAAACAAGAGAAGCCGUAUGAAAUGAAAAUUUCAUGUACGGUUUUGAAACAAAGUUUAUUCAGUUUUUAAAAACUAUUUAAACGAUUGUAACGAAUGUCAGCUCAAUCUGAAGGAGAAUAUGCGGAAGCUUUACAAAAUUAUUAUGAAGCUAUGCGCUUAGAAAUUGACCCUUAUGAUCGAAGUUAUAUACUAUACAAUAUAGGUCUUAUUCAUACAAGUAAUGGAGAACACGCAAAAGCUUUAGAAUAUUAUUUUCAGGCUUUAGAACGAAAUCCAUCUUUACCACAAGCUUUCAAUAAUAUGGCUGUAAUCUGUCAUUACGUGCGACUAUCAAUAUAAUAGAUUUUUUCAGUAAAAAACUACCAUAAAUUCUAGAAAAGUGGAGACUAAUUACAUAUAAAUCAUUAAAAACAGAUUUUUAUUAGCUGUAAUAAUUUAAAACUUCAUUAUAAAUCAAAAAAUGAAAAAAUAUUUGAAUUAAGUCUAAAAACUCUAUGGAUAAUCUAAUUAAAUUUGUGGAAAAAGCACCGUAAAGAUCAAUUAUUGAAAUUUUGAUUUGAUACAAAAAAGCCUGUUUACUUAUAAAAAAUCUCUUUUGUAAUAAAGUUGAUUUAACUGGUUCUUAAACAGCGGUGUAGUCUCAAAUCCUAAAGAGAUAAAGUAUUUUUGAGAAAUUACUCAUAAAAUACUAUAAGAAUCUAAUUAAAAAUAAGAUAGUUACUUUAGUAGGAGAAAAGAUAAAAUAAAAAAAAAGAAAAAAUUUCUAAUUUUUCUUUACAAUUUUAUUUAAAACUUAUUUCAUUAAUUUUUUUUUACUCUUUUAAUAAACAAAAUUUUUUUUUCUUUUUUUUAAUUAAAAAUAACCUAAGAAUAUAGUAAAAAUUAAUUAAUUGAGCUGUAUGAGGUAGGAAACUCUCAUGUACAGUUCUAAGGGAAGAUGCUUUUAUCUAUCCCAACCGAGGAGAACAAGCUAUUCAGCAAGGAGACUCCGAGACAUCCGAAGCUUGGUUUAACCAAGCAGCAGAUUACUGGAAACAAGCAAUAGCAUUGGCCCCAAGUAAUUAUAUUGAAGCACAAAAUUGGUUAAAAAUAACAGACCGUUUGAAAUAAAAAAAAUAAUAAUAAGAAAAUAAAAAUUUAUAUUAAUUCAAUUAAAAAUAGAAUUAAAUUUGAUACGGUCCAUUAAGCACCUUAAAGAUGUGUCAUAAUAAAUUUGAAUACCUGCCCUAGGUAACUUCUGUAUUAUAGUUGCUCCAGUUUUAAACUGAAAAAAAAGAUCAAAAGUUGGAUAAUAAAAUAAUAAGUAUCUUUUAGAAGUUUACUAUUCAUUAUUGGUGGGUUUUUCCUAUGCCUCGUCUGAAGAGAGGAGAACCUCGAUGACUAUUCGUUCACCGGAACCAGAAGUCAAGAUUAUGGUAGAAAAAGAUCCCGUAAAAACUUCUUUUGAAAAAUGGGCUAAACCAGGACAUUUUUCAAGAACUUUAGCUAAGGGUCCUAAUACUACAACUUGGAUUUGGAACUUACAUGCUGAUGCUCAUGAUUUUGACAGUCAUACAAAUGAUUUGGAAGAAAUUUCUCGUAAAGUCUUUAGUGCUCAUUUUGGUCAAUUAGCUGUUAUUUUUAUUUGGCUAAGUGGUAUGUAUUUUCAUGGAGCUCGCUUUUCAAAUUAUGAAGCGUGGCUGAGUGAUCCUACUCAUAUUAAGCCUAGUGCUCAAGUUGUUUGGCCAAUAGUAGGUCAAAAAAUUUUGAAUGGAGAUGUAGGUGGAGGUUUUCAAGGAAUACAAAUCACCUCCGGCUUUUUUCAACUUUGGCGAGCAUCUGGAAUAACUAGCGAAUUACAGCUUUAUACUACUGCAAUAGGUGGGUUAAUUUUUGCAGCUUUAAUGCUUUUUGCUGGAUGGUUUCAUUACCAUAAGGCAGCCCCUAAAUUAGCUUGGUUUCAAAAUGUGGAAUCUAUGCUAAACCAUCACUUAGCUGGGCUAUUAGGUUUAGGAUCUUUAGCUUGGGCAGGACACCAAGUGCAUGUCUCUUUACCUAUUAAUCGACUUUUAGAUGCCGGGGUGGAUCCUAAAGAAAUACCACUUCCUCAUGAAUUUAUUCUAAAUCGUGAUCUUUUAGCUCAGCUUUAUCCAAGUUUUUCUAAAGGAUUAACUCCAUUUUUUACUUUAAAUUGGUCAGAAUAUUCAGACUUUUUAACUUUUCGUGGAGGAUUAAAUCCAGUUACCGGAGGUUUAUGGCUAACUGAUACAGCACAUCAUCAUUUAGCUAUUGCAGUUCUUUUUCUGGUUGCUGGACAUAUGUAUAGAACUAAUUUUGGCAUUGGCCAUAGCAUGAAAGAAAUUCUAGAAGCUCAUAAAGGUCCUUUUACAGGCGAAGGUCAUAAAGGAUUAUAUGAGAUUUUAACUACUUCAUGGCAUGCUCAAUUAGCUAUUAAUUUAGCUAUGCUAGGUUCUUUAACUAUUAUCGUAGCUCAUCAUAUGUAUGCUAUGCCUCCUUAUCCAUACUUAGCUACUGACUAUGCUACUCAACUUUCUUUAUUCACACAUCAUAUGUGGAUUGGUGGUUUUCUUGUAGUUGGAGCUGCUGCACAUGCAGCUAUUUUUAUGGUAAGAGAUUAUGAUCCAACAACUCAAUACAAUAACUUAUUAGAUCGUGUUUUACGACAUCGUGAUGCAAUAAUAUCACACCUUAAUUGGGUUUGUAUUUUCUUAGGUUUUCAUAGUUUUGGAUUAUAUAUUCAUAAUGACACAAUGAGCGCUUUAGGCCGUCCUCAAGAUAUGUUUUCAGAUACAGCUAUACAAUUACAACCUGUAUUUGCUCAAUGGAUCCAAAAUACUCAUGCUUUAGCACCUAGUUUAACAGCUCCUAAUGCAACAGCGAGUACUAGUUUAACUUGGGGUGGUGGUGACUUAGUUGCAGUAGGUGGUAAAGUAGCUUUAUUACCAAUUCCAUUAGGAACUGCAGACUUUUUAGUACAUCAUAUUCAUGCUUUUACUAUUCAUGUAACAGUAUUAAUUUUAUUAAAAGGUGUUUUAUUUGCACGUAGUUCUCGUUUAAUUCCUGAUAAAGCUAAUCUUGGUUUUAGAUUUCCGUGUGAUGGACCUGGAAGAGGCGGAACAUGCCAAGUAUCUGCUUGGGACCAUGUUUUCUUAGGUUUAUUCUGGAUGUACAAUGCCAUUUCAGUAGUUAUUUUCCAUUUUAGUUGGAAAAUGCAAUCUGAUGUAUGGGGUUCUAUCAGCGAUCAAGGCGUUGUUACUCAUAUUACAGGAGGAAACUUCGCACAAAGUUCAAUUACAAUUAAUGGAUGGCUUCGUGAUUUCUUAUGGGCACAAGCGUCUCAAGUAAUUCAAUCUUAUGGUUCGUCAUUAUCUGCCUAUGGUCUUCUAUUUUUAGGCGCACACUUCGUUUGGGCAUUUAGUUUAAUGUUCUUAUUUAGUGGUCGAGGAUAUUGGCAAGAACUUAUUGAGUCUAUUGUUUGGGCUCACAACAAAUUAAAAGUUGCCCCUGCUAUUCAGCCUAGAGCCUUAAGUAUUGUACAAGGUCGUGCUGUAGGAGUAGCUCAUUACCUUCUGGGCGGGAUUGCCACAACAUGGGCAUUCUUCCUAGCGAGAAUUAUUUCAGUAGGAUAAUGGCUAGGAGGAUUUGAAAGGCAUUAUGGCAUCAAGAUUUCCAAAAUUCAGCCGGGGCCUAUCUCAAGACCCAACUACUCGUCGUAUUUGGUUCGGUAUUGCUACCGCACAUGACUUUGAAAGCCAUGAUGAUAUGACUGAAGAACGUCUUUAUCAAAAAAUUUUCGCUUCUCACUUUGGUCAGUUAGCAAUAAUUUUUUUAUGGACCUCUGGUAAUUUAUUUCAUGUAGCUUGGCAAGGUAAUUUCGAAGCAUGGGGACAAGAUCCUUUACAUGUACGACCAAUUGCUCAUGCAAUUUGGGACCCACAUUUUGGUCAACCAGCAGUAGAAGCAUUUACUCGAGGCGGAGCUUCAGGUCCUGUUAAUAUAGCUUAUUCUGGAGUAUAUCAAUGGUGGUAUACAAUUGGUUUACGUACGAAUCAAGAUCUUUAUGGCGGAUCUAUUUUUCUAUUAUUUGUUUCGGCUCUUUUUUUAAUCGCAGGUUGGUUACAUUUACAACCAAAAUGGAAACCAAGUGUUUCAUGGUUUAAAAAUGCCGAAUCUCGUCUUAAUCAUCAUUUAUCUGGUCUUUUUGGAGUUAGUUCUUUAGCAUGGACAGGACAUUUAGUUCAUGUGGCUAUUCCUGAAUCUAGAGGUGAGCAUGUAAGAUGGAAUAAUUUAUUAACAGCAUUACCACAUCCUCAAGGUUUAGGACCUUUUUUUGCAGGACAAUGGAAUGUUUAUGCUCAAAAUCCUGAUUCAAAUAGUCAUUUAUUUGGUACUUCUGAAGGAGCAGGUACUGCAAUUUUAACUUUUCUUGGCGGAUUUCACCCACAAACACAAAGUUUAUGGCUGACUGAUAUGGCUCAUCACCAUUUAGCUAUCGCAGUUAUUUUUAUUAUAGCUGGUCAUAUGUAUAGAACUAAUUUUGGUAUUGGUCAUAGUAUGAAAGAAAUUUUAGAAGCACACACCCCUCCAGGAGGUCGUUUAGGCCGUGGGCAUAAAGGUCUUUAUGAUACAAUUAAUAAUUCGCUUCAUUUUCAAUUAGGUCUUGCUUUAGCUUCUUUAGGCGUUAUUACUUCUUUAGUAGCUCAGCAUAUGUAUUCUUUACCUCCAUAUGCAUUUUUAGCACAAGAUUUUACUACUCAAGCCGCAUUAUAUACUCAUCAUCAAUACAUCGCUGGAUUUAUUAUGACAGGUGCAUUUGCUCAUGGAGCUAUUUUCUUUAUAAGAGAUUAUAAUCCAGAACAAAAUAAAGAUAAUGUGUUAGCUAGAAUGUUAGAGCAUAAAGAAGCGAUCAUUUCACAUUUAAGUUGGGCUAGUUUAUUUUUAGGCUUCCAUACUUUAGGACUUUAUGUUCAUAAUGAUGUUAUGCUUGCUUUUGGUACUCCAGAAAAACAAAUUUUAAUUGAACCUGUAUUUGCCCAAUGGAUCCAAUCUGCUCAUGGUAAGGCUUUAUAUGGUUUUGAUGUUCUUUUAUCAUCUGCAGAUAGUCCAGCUUUUAAUGCUGGUCAAACUCUAUGGUUACCAGGUUGGUUAGAUGCUAUUAAUAAUAAUAGCAAUUCCUUAUUCUUAACUAUUGGCCCUGGAGAUUUCUUAGUUCAUCACGCUAUUGCUUUAGGUUUACAUACAACUACUUUAAUUUUAGUUAAAGGUGCUUUAGAUGCUCGUGGUUCUAAAUUAAUGCCAGACAAAAAAGAAUUUGGUUAUAGUUUCCCUUGUGACGGCCCAGGACGAGGUGGUACUUGUGAUAUUUCAGCUUGGGAUGCUUUUUAUUUAGCUGUUUUUUGGAUGCUAAAUACUAUUGGAUGGGUUACUUUUUAUUGGCAUUGGAAACAUAUUACUUUAUGGCAAGGAAAUGUAGCUCAAUUUAAUGAGUCUUCUACAUAUUUAAUGGGAUGGUUAAGAGAUUAUUUAUGGUUAAACUCUUCACAACUUAUUAAUGGAUAUAAUCCUUUUGGUAUGAAUAGUUUAUCUGUAUGGGCUUGGAUGUUCUUAUUUGGACAUCUUGUUUGGGCUACUGGGUUUAUGUUUCUAAUUUCUUGGCGUGGAUAUUGGCAAGAGCUUAUUGAAACUUUAGCUUGGGCUCAUGAACGUACACCUUUAGCUAAUUUAGUUCGUUGGAAAGACAAACCAGUAGCUCUUUCUAUUGUUCAAGCACGAUUAGUUGGUUUAGCUCAUUUCUCAGUUGGUUAUAUAUUUACUUAUGCAGCUUUCUUAAUUGCUUCUACAUCAGGUAAAUUUGGCUAAUAAUUAUUUUUCCUUUAAUAAAUAAAAUAAAUAAAAUUAAGAUAAAUGUUUGGAAUUAAAUCCAAACAUUUAUCUUAAUUUUAUUUAACAUAAAAAAAGAAUAGAAAAAAAAAUGAAAUAAAAAAAUUUAUUAAAAAUUUUAUUCAUUUUAUUUUUUAACUAAAACAAAUAUUUUAAUAAUAAAAAAAUCACGGCAAAAAAAAGUCUUAUUGAAAGAGAAAAAAAAAGACAAAAAUUAGAAAAAAAAUAUCAAGAUUUUCGUCACUCUAUAAAAAAAAAAAUUAAGGAAACUUCAUCCUUAGAUGAAAAAUGGGAAUUUCAAAAACAAUUACAAGCUUUACCACGUAAUAGCGCACCUACAAGACUUCAUCGUCGUUGUUUUUUAACCGGAAGACCUAGAGCAAAUUAUCGUGAUUUUGGCUUAUCUAGGCAUGUAUUACGAGAAAUGGCUCAUGCAUGUUUUUUACCUGGAGUAACUAAAUCUAGUUGGUAAAAAACAUUGAAUAAAAAUAAAAAAAAAAUACAAUUAAAAAACCCCCGAAUUAUAUAACCUUAUAAUGUUAUGUAUAUUUUAGUUGGGGGUUUUUUUUAAUAAAAAAAAAUAAUUGUUUAAGUAAUUAAAACUAUGUUAUCAUGUUUUAUCGCGGGGUAGAGCAGUUUGGUAGCUCGCAAGGCUCAUAACCUUGAGGUCAUGGGUUCAAAUCCCGUCUCCGCUAAAGAUAAAAUUUUUAAUAAAAAUUUAAAAAUAAAGUUUAUUUACAAAUUUUCUAAAAUAUUAAACUAAAAAAGAAAAAAAUAAAUGAAAAAAAUAUUGUUUUCUAUUCUCUAAAUUUUUUUUUGAAUGAUUAAAAGGCGGGUAGCGGGAAUCGAACCCGCAUAUUCUCCUUGGCAAGGAGGAAUUUUACCAUUAAACUAUACCCGCAAUUAACUGUGUGUGUAUCCAAAGAUGUAUAUACAUAUAUAUAUAUGUUUUUUUUAAGAUAGUCAAUUAUUUUUUUUUUUUCAGUUUUUUAAGUUUUAAUAAAUAAAAAUUAAAAACCCUCCCUAGUAGAAAAUAUUUAUUUUAUAUUAUAAUAAUAGGACUUGUAUAAAAUGCUUUUUAGAAUUUAUAAUGUAAAAUAGUAUAUCUAGCAAGGGAGGAAAAGAGAUAAAAAAUUUUAUUUUAUUUUUAUUUAUAAUUAAAAUAAAAUUAUUAAAAUAAAAUUUUAAGAUAUGAAAGAAUUAAGAACACCAACCAAAAAAACUAAUCCAACCCAUAAUGAAGCACCUGAAAAUACAACAUUUUUACUACUUGACCAACCAUCAGGAGAGGCAAGCACAACAGGUACACCAAUUACUAAAAGAAAUGAAAUAGCAAUUAAUGCAAACACAGCGAACUGGAAAGCAAUAGUCAUGGUGAUGAUUCUCCAAGUUCAAAAAAAUAAAAUAAGUUAUACCAUUAAUCCUUUUCUAGUAAUUAUUUAGUUACUAAGCCAAAAUACUUUAAAAAUAAAAAAUAAAAUUUUUUUAUUAAAAUUAAAAAAUAUUUUUUUAUUUAAAAAUGUUGUUAAAUAAGUUUUUAAUUAUUGUAUAAUUAAUGGCUUUACUUUUUGUUUCAUUUAAAAAAUAGGAGAGAUGGCCGAGUGGUUUAUGGCUCUGGUCUUGAAAACCAGCAUAGUUUUUCAAAACUAUCGAGGGUUCGAAUCCCUCUCUCUCCUUUUUUCUUUUUAAAAAAAUUUAUUAUAAAAAAAAAAAUAGUUAAAUUUUAUAUACAUAAAAAAGGCUCGGCUAAAAAAAAGCCGAGCCUUUUUUUUUUUAUAAAAAAAAUUAAUAACUAAUUUAUUUCUUAAUUUUAAUUAUUAAUUAAGAGGUGUCAUAGAAAGAACAGGCUCAAAAUCACGAUCAAUUCCUUUUUCAAAUCCAGCUGCAGCUGCACGUGCUCUUCCUGCAUGCCAUAAAUGACCUACAAAGAAGAAAAAUCCUAAUACAAAGUGAGAAGUAGCUAACCAACUACGUGGAGACACAUAAUUUACUGCAUUAAUUUCAGUAGCUACACCACCUACAGAAUUUAAAGAACCUAACGGAGCAUGAGUCAUAUAUUCUGCAGAACGUCUUUCUUGCCAAGGUUGAAUAUCUUUUUUCAACUUACUUAAGUCCAAACCAUUAGGUCCUCGUAAAGGUUCUAACCAUGGAGCACGAAGGUCCCAAAAACGCAUAGUUUCUCCACCAAAAAUGAUUUCUCCAGUAGGAGAACGCAUUAGAUAUUUACCUAAACCAGUAGGUCCUUGAGCAGAACCUACGUUAGCACCAAGUCGUUGGUCUCUAACUAGGAAAGUAAAAGCUUGUGCUUGAGAAGCUUCUGGUCCAGUAGGACCAUAAAAUUCACUUGGAUAAGCUGUGUUAUUAAACCAAACAAAACAACAAGCAAUAAAACCAAAAACGGCAAUAGCUCCUAAACUAUAAGAUAAAUAAGCUUCGCCAGACCAAACAAGAGCUCGACGAGCCCAAGCAAAUGGUUUUGUUAAAAUAUGCCAGAUUCCACCAAAAAUACAGAUAGAACCUAACCAAACAUGGCCUCCAAUAAUAUCUUCUAAAUUAUCUACACUAACAAUCCAUCCUUCGCCACCAAAAGGUGAUUUAAGUAAAUAACCAAAUAUAACACCAGGACUAAGAGUAAGAUUUGUAAUUUUUCUUACGUCACCUCCUCCAGGAGCCCAAGUAUCAUAUAUUCCGCCAAAAUAUAAGGCUUUAAAUACUAAAAGGAAAGCGCCAGCACCUAAUAAAAUUAAAUGAAUACCUAAAAUAGUAGUCAUUUUAUUUUUAUCUUUCCAUACAUAACCAAAAAAUGGGAAAGAUUCUUCUAAAGUUUCUGGCCCAAUUAAUGCGUGAUAAAUACCACCAAAACCUAAAACCGCAGAAGAAAUUAGGUGAAGUACUCCAGAUACAAAAUAUGGAAAAGUAUCUAUAACUUCUCCACCAGGACCUACUCCCCAACCUAAAGUAGCUAGGUGAGGAAGUAGAAUUAAUCCUUGUUCGUACAUAGGCUUCUCUGGUACAAAGUGAGCUACUUCAAAAAGAUUCAUUGCUCCAGCCCAGAAUACAAUUAAUCCAGCAUGAGCUACGUGAGCACCUAAUAACUUACCAGAUAAAUUAAUAAGUCUAGCAUUACCAGCCCACCAAGCAAAACCAGUGGUUUCUUGAUCACGACCACUUAAAGCCAAGGUUCCAUUAAAGAGCGUUUCCACGUGGUAGAACCUCCUCUGGGAAUACAAGAUUUUCAUGAGGCUGAUCUUGAGCUGCCAUCCAAGC
rnacentral:lncRNA from 1 species